GUGAAGGCAAUAAAAAUGAAGACACCUGGCUUGGGAAUCUUCACCCAUCACUGGAGCCACUGCCACUUGGAAGGAGCCGGUUGUCUCCCUGGACCUGAGGUGUGCUCACAAGCUGGAAGUUGCAGAGGAUUACCAGUUUCAGGAAGCAGCCCUCAACCAAGCCUGAUGAAAGUUGAUGUGUCAGUGCUCUAUCUCCCUUACCUCACACAUGGAAUAGCUCUGAAAUGCCUGUCCUGCACCAGCUGGAGCUCCCCUGGACGUUGAAACUUCAUUUGCCCACACUAAGAAAUUUGCAUGAUAACACAUAUUGGCUAUCACCCCAUCCUGUAUUGGCUGUGACCCCAUCCUUCCUGUCUCUCUCCACCCCUUAGUUUCCUGGGAUCACUGUUCAAAUAAACUUCUUGCACAUGAA